CCUACGGGUGGCAGCAGUGAGGAAUAUUGGUCAAUGGACGAGAGUCUGAACCAGCCAAGUAGCGUGAAGGAUGACUGCCCUAUGGGUUGUAAACUUCUUUUAUAUGGGAAUAAAACGUUCCACGUGUGGGAUUUUGUAUGUACCAUAUGAAUAAGGAUCGGCUAACUCCGUGCCAGCAGCCGCGGUAAUACGGAGGAUCCGAGCGUUAUCCGGAUUUAUUGGGGUUAAAGGGAGCGUAGGUGGAUUGUUAAGUCAGUUGUGAAAGUUUGCGGCUCAACCGUAAAAUUGCAGUUGAAACUGGCAGUCUUGAGUACAGUAGAGGUGGGCGGAAUUCGUGGUGUAGCGGUGAAAUGCUUAGAUAUCACGAAGAACUCCGAUUGCGAAGGCAGUUCACUGGUCUGCAACUGACACUGAGGCUCGAAAGUGUGAGUAUCAAACAGGAUUAGAUACCCCAGUAGUC
rnacentral:rRNA from 1 species